GAAGUGCGAAAAGUAAUGCGAUUUGCAUAAUCUGUGAGUCAUUGAAUCUUUGAACGCAUAUGGCGCCCUGCAGACCUGUCUGUGGGGCAUGCCUGUUUGAGUGCCAUUUGAAACCCAUUUUGUUAGGCCAUCAUCAGUGAUUGCUUUGAAUCCCGCGGCGUGCCGUGUCAAGCGUUUUCGGCGCGCUAUUUCCAAUCGUGGCCUCAAAUCAGGCAAGACUACCCGCCGAACUUAA
rnacentral:misc_RNA from 1 species